rnacentral:rRNA from 1 species
UACGUAGGGUGCAAGCGUUAAUCGGAAUACUGGGCGUAAAGCGUGCGCAGGCGGUGAUGUAAGACAGUUGUGAAAUCCCCCGGGCUCAACCCUGGGAACUGCAUCUGUGACUGCAUUGCUGGAGUGCGGCAGAGGGGGAUGGAAUUCCGCGUGUAGCAGUGAAAUGCGUAGAUAUGCGGGAGGAACACCGAUGGCGAAGGCAGCCCCCCUGGGUCAAGAUUGACGCUCAUGCACGAAAGCGUGGGGAGCAAACAGG